rnacentral:rRNA from 1 species
UGGUGGGGUAAAGGCUUACCAAGGCAAUGAUGCGUAGCCGAACUGAGAGGUUGAUCGGCCACAUUGGGACUGAGACACGGCCCAAACUCCUACGGGAGGCAGCAGUAGGGAAUCUUCCACAAUGGGCGAAAGCCUGAUGGAGCAACGCCGCGUGGGUGAAGAAGGUCUUCGGAUCGUAAAACCCUGUUGUUAGAGAAGAAAGUGCGUGAGAGUAACUGUUCACGUUUCGACGGUAUCUAACCAGAAAGCCACGGCUAACUACGUGCCAGCAGCCGCGGUAAUACGUAGGUGGCAAGCGUUAUCCGGAUUUAUUGGGCGUAAAGGGAACGCAGGCGGUCUUUUAAGUCUGAUGUGAAAGCCUUCGGCUUAACCGGAGUAGUGCAUUGGAAACUGGGAGACUUGAGUGCAGAAGAGGAGAGUGGAACUCCAUGUGUAGCGGUGAAAUGCGUAGAUAUAUGGAAGAACACCAGUGGCGAAAGCGGCUCUCUGGUCUGUAACUGACGCUGAGGUUCGAAAGCGUGGGUAGCAAACAGGAUUAGAUACCCUGGUAGUCCACGCCGUAAACGAUGAAUGCUAAGUGUUGGAGGGUUUCCGCCCUUCA